AGAUGUGAGGGCCAUCUGGCUGCGAUAUCUGUCACCCCAUUGAUCGCCAGGCUUGAUUUGGCUAAUCUGGCUGGCUAAGCGGGUGUCCCCUUCCUCCCUUACCAAUCCAUGUGUGUCCCUCCCUAAGUUGUGUGCUCGGUGGAAGAGGACGUCCUUCCCCGAAUAGAGAUGUCUUCAGUAGAGGGUAUACGAGUAGCUGCCCUCCCCUGCUAGAACCUCCAAACAAGCUUUCAAACCCUCUUGGUUCCAUAACAAAAAUGAAGAAGUGAUCUUUGAAAAGUCCUAUACAAGAUACUCUUAUAA
rnacentral:snRNA from 1 species